rnacentral:rRNA from 1 species
GAUGAACGCUGGCGGCGUGCCUAAUACAUGCAAGUCGAGCGAACGGACGAGAAGCUUGCUUCUCUGAUGUUAGCGGCGGACGGGUGAGUAACACGUGGAUAACCUACCUAUAAGACUGGGAUAACUUCGGGAAACCGUAGCUAAUACCGGAUAAUAUUUUGAACCGCAUGGUUCAAAAGUGAAAUACGGUCGUGCGGGCACUUAUAGAUGGAUCGGCGCUUGAUUAGCUAGUUGGGAAGGUAACGGCUUACUAAGGCAACGAUGCAUAGCCGACCUGAGAGGGGGAUGGGCCCGACGUGAACUGAGACACGGCCCAGACGCGUACGGGAGGCAGCAGUAGGGAAUCUUCCGCAAUGGGCGAAAGCAUGACGGAGCAACGCCGCGUGAGUGAUGAAGGUCUUCGGAUCGUAAAACUCUGUUAUUAGGGAAGAACAUAUGUGUAAGUAACUGUGAACAUCUUGACGGUACAUAAUCAGAAAGCCACGGCUAACUACGUG